UGGCAAUUAGCACAGAAGAGGAGCCCUGCUAGGCCGCACCAGAAGCCCAUCUAGUCUCAUAUUCAGUGGCUAGUCAGAGAUUUCCAGGAAGUGCCCACACACGCAGGGCAUGCAGUUGAGAUUUGUGACUGGAGAUGGAAUGCAGUUCUGGAUGGAAGAAAAUCUACUUUCUGAAGAGUGUUGAUAAAAACUGCAUGGGAACACAAUACUGGGUGGGAGUCUCACUUCCAGGAGUUCUCCACUUUGGGUUCCCAUAUGAUUUUGGACCACAACUCACAUCAUCCCCAGCCACAAUGGGCUUCGAAUCCAAGGUUGAGAAAUGUUUCCCAAGGUUUCCCUUUUCACAGGGAAAGUCUGGUGCAAAACUACGGAUAUUUUCUGUUCAGCAACAGGCUUAACAAGGUUCAGCAGUGUAAUCCUGAUGUGGUUUCAGCAGGGGCCUUUUUGAAUGCUGAUGAGCAGUGGGGAAGAGCAAGAUGCAAUUGGCCUAAUCUCUUCAUAUCUAAUAAAGAGUAACUGAUAAGGAGUAACUUUAAAAAAACCCCAACCCAGUUACAUUCGAACACAAAAGUACAUGGGUUACACAUACACAUACAUGGGAUACACAUGAGAGUUUUCUGGCCCCUGGCAGUUGAUGAUGCUAUCUAGGUCCUGGGCUCUUGCUUGCAGAGAGAUGAGGCCAGAAGGCGCUGCAGGUAGAUUCAGGUGCUGGCUGGUGAUGGUAACACUGUGACAGUCCACAAAAGCAGCCCUUCUACUAAUCUGUGUUAUGGAAGGACAAGUCCCCUUGGUAUUAUGGGUACCAGUUCCCACCAUCACCAUCACUUUUAUCAUUGUCAUCAAUGGAAGAGUAAGCUCACUACAGCAGCUAUGAUGCUAUACACACCCUUGCUGCCACCAGCAGAAUCGAUACCAACUCCAAAUUUACUACCAGGACCUCUUCCCUUCAUAUAGCCAAAUAUACUACACUCAGGUCUCUGAGGUGUGCAUAACCAGUAAUAUCUGUUGUUUUCUGUAAAACAUUUUCCCAAAACACAGUUAUCAGUGGACACCUCCAUAUCAUAUGAUAUGUCAGCUCGUAAUUGUUUUACGCAUCUGGAAACUUGACUGAAAAGCCAGAUAAAAACAUACUUUUAUACAAUUUUUAAGUUUUUAUAAUAUUAGAUUAUUAAUAAAAGCAACCACAUAUAUA